rnacentral:lncRNA from 1 species
UUGUCACUUUAUAUUAUUAUACUUCAUGUCAAAAUGCCAGAUUUUGAUUGGCUAAUACGAGGGUGUCAAUUUACUCUAUUACCCUUCAUGGAGACGCUUGAUCAAGUGUGCGCUUUAUUAAAUACGACUCUAUCCUAUGACAUAUACUCUAUCACCCUUCACAGAGACGCUCGAUCAAGUGUGCGCUUUAUUAAAUACGAAUUUAUCCUUUGGCAAAUACUCUAUUACCCUUCACGGAGACGUUUGAUCAAGUGUGCG